CCAAGAUAAGCUUGCUGAUCCCACUAUGUGGAGCAGAGAGAAACCAAGCUGGAGUGUUAGGCUGUGGGCAGAGGCAAGGGUUUUACUUUUAAAUCACAGUCGAGUCUAAGAUCAAGAACCCACUAAGAUGACAAAGUGUUUACCAUGCACCUGGGCUCCACGCCAGGGCUCUGACAGAGCCAGUGCCAAGCCGGGGCUUCUUCUCUGAGCCACCAAGUUCAACCAGUGCAUAGACAGCAAGACAGAGCCUUUACAGCCUCCCUUGAAAUAUAGAAGCACGCAGUCAGGCAUGGUGGGGGAAAACAAGGUGAGAGGUGCUUUUACGGUGGGGUGAAGAGUGAGGUAGAGAGGCCCAAUUUUGACUUGCCCUUUUUUCUGUCUUCUUCCUCCAGGUGCAAGACCAGGAUGUCAGACCUGCAGAGGACCUCUGGAGGCAAAAAACGGAGUGAGAAUCUGCAGACAGAGGAGUAUCUCUGGGCACACACAGGGCUCGGAGUCAGAGCCUGGCUGAGGAAUUGUUCAUUCAGUUUGGGGCAGUUUGUAUUUUCUGUCCCCAUGAUAUUCCUGGAAUUGCCAGCAUGAGAAAGCAAUCCAUGGGUGCCCAGGUUAGCUGCCCCCCAGCCCCUUUCCCACCUGACUCCCUCACCUCAAAAGGGUAGAUAAUUCAAAACCCCUCUAGUUCACAAUAAGCUGCCUGUGGCAUCAGCAUGUGGCACCAGUCACUCUGUCUCUGUCGUUUGUUUCUGAAGUCAUCACCAGAGACUCCAGUUUCAUAAUCCACAGUGGACUUAAAAAUAGAGGGAAAUUUAUUCCAAGAUAAUUUGGUCUUCAAAUGGACAUCAGAGAGCCUGGCUUUUCAGAUGCCAGAAGCUGCUGAUGCUCGCCAUGAACAUCAUGGCCUGAGGAGAAUCAGCCUUCCUUCCUGGUGGUCCCUUGACUAGAUGAUUGACAGGCCCAACUGGAUUAAGUCUUGAGAGAGGAGACAAUGACAUCUCUUCACACAGAGGCCCUGGGGAGGCCCCAGCAAGGAACCCUGCCAGCACCAACUGCGACUGAGGAGAACGUGACUCGUGAAGGUAGCAGAGAAUGAACUGUAAGCUUACUGGCUGAAAUCCCACUUAGGGUUGCUCUGUGGGCAUCUCCUCCUCUAUGAUAGGUGUGUGUAAGUCCACAGACCAUGGACAGGUAAGAUGGCUUAGUGGGUAAAGAUCCUUACUACAAAGG